rnacentral:rRNA from 1 species
UACGUAGGUGGCGAGCGUUGUCCGGAUUUACUGGGCGUAAAGGGAGCGUAGGCGGACUUUUAAGUGAGAUGUGAAAUACUCGGGCUCAACUUGAGUGCUGCGUUUCAAACUGGAAGUCUAGAGUGCAGGAGAGGAGAAUGGAAUUCCUAGUGUAGCGGUGAAAUGCGCAGAGAUUAGGAAGAACACCAGUGGCGAAGGCGAUUCUCUGGACUGUAACUGACGCUGAGGCUCGAAAGCGUGGGGAGCAAACAGG